CUUGAGGUGUAUCCUGAGGGGGCCGCUCCUGUGGCUGCUCAUCGUUGGAAACACCUGCUAGAGUAACACUGGCUUGGUUUAGCUCACAGGUCUCUUUCUUAGGCCUGCUGGUAAGGCUCUACAGGACAGCA
rnacentral:snoRNA from 1 species